rnacentral:rRNA from 1 species
AACGAACGCUGGCGGCAUGCCUAACACAUGCAAGUCGAACGAGACCUUCGGGUCUAGUGGCGCACGGGUGCGUAACGCGUGGGAACCUGCCCUUAGGUUCGGAAUAACUCCCCGAAAGGGGUGCUAAUACCGGAUAAUUUCUUCGGACCAAAGAUUUAUCGCCUUUGGAUGGGCCCGCGUUGGAUUAGCUAGUUGGUAGGGUAAAAGCCUACCAAGGCGACGAUCCAUAGCUGGUCUGAGAGGCUGAUCAGCCACACUGGGACUGAGACACGGCCCAGACUCCUACGGGAGGCAGCAGUGGGGAAUAUUGGAAAAUGGGCGAAAGCCUGAUCCAGCAAGGCCGCGUGAGUGAUGAAGGCCUUAGGGUUGUAAAGCUCUUUUACCCGGGAUGAUAAUGACAGUACCGGGAGAAUAAGCUCCGGCUAACUCCGUG